rnacentral:rRNA from 1 species
GAUGAACGCUAGCGGCAGGCUUAACACAUGCAAGUCGAACGGUAACAUUGGUGCUUGCACCAGAUGACGAGUGGCGCACGGGUGCGUAACGCGUAUGCAAUCUACCUUUUACUGGAGUAUAGCCCAGAGAAAUUUGGAAUAAUCCUCCAUAAUAUCAUUUAAUCGCAUGAUUUUUUGAUUAAAGCUUCGGUGGUAAAAGAUGAGCAUGCGUUCUAUUAGCUAGUAGGUAAGGUAACGGCUUACCUAGGCAACGAUAGAUAGGGGUCCUGAGAGGGAGAUCCCCCACACUGGUACUGAGACACGGACCAGACUCCUACGGGAGGCAGCAGUGAGGAAUAUUGGACAAUGGACGAAAGUCUGAUCCAGCCAUGCCGCGUGCAGGAUGAAUGCCCUAUGGGUUGUAAACUGCUUUUAUAUAGGAAGAAAACCCUCCACGUGUGGAGGCUUGACGGUACUAUAAGAAUAAGGAUCGGCUAACUCCGUGCCAGCCGCCGCCGUAACAC